UCGGGAAUUUUGGGCAAUGGGGGCAACCCUGAUCCAGCGAUGCCGCGUGUGUGAAGAAGGCCUGCGGGUUGUAAAGCACUUUAGUUGGGGAGGAAAGGUAUGUACUGCAUAAGUGCAUGCUGUGACGUUACCCAAAGAAUAAGCACCGGCAAACUCUGUGCCAGCAGCCGCGGUAAUACAGAGGGUGCAAGCGUUAAUCGGACUUACUGGGCGUAAAGGGCGCGUAGGCGGAAAGACAAGUCAGAUGUGAAAUCCUGGGGCUCAACCUCAGAACUGCAUUUGAAACUAUCAUUCUAGAGGGUAGGAGGAGAAAACGGAAUUCCACAAGUAGCGGUGAAAUGCGUAGAUAUAGGAAGGAACACCAGUGGCGAAGGCGACCACCUGGACUGAUACUGACACUGAGGUGCGAAAGCGUGGGGAGCAAACAGGAUUAGAUACCCAGGUAGUCCCUGAGCGGGCUGGCAAGGCGCAU
rnacentral:rRNA from 1 species